GAUGAACGCUGGCGGCGUGCCUAAUACAUGCAAGUCGAGCGAACAGAUAAGGAGCUUGCUCCUUUGACGUUAGCGGCGGACGGGUGAGUAACACGUGGGUAACCUACCUAUAAGACUGGGAUAACUUCGGGAAACCGGAGCUAAUACCGGAUAACAUUUGGAACCGCAUGGUUCUAAAGUGAAAGAUGGUUUUGCUAUCACUUAUAGAUGGACCCGCGCCGUAUUAGCUAGUUGGUAAGGUAACGGCUUACCAAGGCAACGAUACGUAGCCGACCUGAGAGGGUGAUCGGCCACACUGGAACUGAGACACGGUCCAGACUCCUACGGGAGGCAGCAGUAGGGAAUCUUCCGCAAUGGGCGAAAGCCUGACGGAGCAACGCCGCGUGAGUGAUGAAGGGUUUCGGCUCGUAAAACUCUGUUAUUAGGGAAGAACAAAUGUGUAAGUAACUGUGCACAUCUUGACGGUACCUAAUCAGAAAGCCACGGCUAACUACGUGCCAGCCGCCGCGGUAA
rnacentral:rRNA from 1 species